rnacentral:rRNA from 1 species
CAGUAGCCGCGGGAAUACGGAGGGUGCAAGCGUUAAUCGGAAUUACUGGGCGUAAAGCGCACGCAGGCGGUUGUAUAAGACAGGUGUGAAAGCCCCGGGCUUAACCUGGGAACUGCGCUUGUGACUGCACAGCUAGAGUAUUGCAGAGGGGGGUGGAAUUCCACGUGUAGCAGUGAAAUGCGUAGAGAUCUGGAGGAACACCGAUGGCGAAGGCAGCCCCCUGGGCAAAUACUGACGCUCAUGCACGAAAGCGUGGGGAGCAAACAGGAUUAGAUACCCCAGUAGUCCCUGUCUCUUAUAC